CGACUUGGAGGUUGUUCCCUUGAGGAGUGGCUUCCGGAGCUAACGCGUUAAGUCGACCGCCUGGGGAGUACGGCCGCAAGGUUAAAACUCAAAUGAAUUGACGGGGGCCCGCACAAGCGGUGGAGCAUGUGGUUUGAUUCGAUGCAACGCGAAGAACCUUACCUACUCUUGACAUCCACGGAAUUCGGCAGAGAUGCCUUAGUGCCUUCGGGAACCGUGAGACAGGUGCUGCAUGGCUGUCGUCAGCUCGUGUUGUGAAAUGUUGGGUUAAGUCCCGCAACGAGCGCAACCCUUAUCCUUUGUUGCCAGCGAGUCAUGUCGGGAACUCAAAGGAGACUGCCGGUGAUAAACCGGAGGAAGGUGGGGAUGACGUCAAGUCAUCAUGGCCCUUACGAGUAGGGCUACACACGUGCUACAAUGGCGCAUACAAAGAGAAGCGACCUCGCGAGAGCAAGCGGACCUCACAAAGUGCGUCGUAGUCCGGAUCGGAGUCUGCAACUCGACUCCGUGAAGUCGGAAUCGCUAGUAAUCGUGGAUCAGAAUGCCACGGUGAAUACGUUCCCGGGCCUUGUACACACCGCCCGUCACACCAUGGGAGUGGGUUGCAAAAGAAGUAGGUAGCUUAACCUUCGGGAGGGCGCUUACCACUUUGUGAUUCAUGACUGGGGUGAAGUCGUAACAAGGUAAC
rnacentral:rRNA from 1 species